rnacentral:rRNA from 1 species
GACGAACGCUGGCGGCGUGCUUAACACAUGCAAGUCGAACGGAAAGGCCCUGCUUUUGUGGGGUGCUCGAGUGGCGAACGGGUGAGUAACACGUGAGUAACCUGCCCUUGACUUUGGGAUAACUUCAGGAAACUGGGGCUAAUACCGGAUAGGAGCUCCUGCUGCAUGGUGGGGGUUGGAAAGUUUCGGCGGUUGGGGAUGGACUCGCGGCUUAUCAGCUUGUUGGUGGGGGAGUGGCUUACCAAGGCUUUGACGGGUAGCCGGCCUGAGAGGGUGACCGGCCACAUUGGGACUGAGAUACGGCCCAGACUCCUACGGGAGGCAGCAGUGGGGAAUAUUGCACAAUGGGCGGAAGCCUGAUGCAGCAACGCCGCGUGCGGGAUGACGGCCUUCGGGUUGUAAACCGCUUUCGCCUGUGACGAAGCGUGAGUGACGGUAAUGGGUAAAGAAGCACCGACUAACUACGUG